AUCCUUUUUUGGUUCGUAAGCGUGAUGAUUAAGGAUUCACACCAAUGCGUGAUGUGUGCCACCCACAAAACCUUGUUAUGAUAUUGACACAUUACCUGUCUGAUG